AUUAUUUUGGCAGAAAAAUGCGUUAAAUUUAGAAUUUAAAUAUAUGAUUAAUAAUCAUAAAUAAUA
rnacentral:tRNA from 1 species